rfam:Salmo salar isolate Sally breed double haploid chromosome ssa02, whole genome shotgun sequence.
GGCCAGGGGCUGUGUGAUAUGUUUGAUAUUCGGUUGUUCUCCUGCGUAAUCAAGUCAACUAAAUAUCAGACAUAUUCCUACAGAGCCUGGCA